CAGCAAUAAUGAGCGUGCUAACAAGUUGAAAGUAGUCCUAAAACAGGCUGGUCAACUGUAAUGCAUAGCGCAAGAUAAUAUUAGUUCGCUAAACGUACAUUGUAUGAACGACAUAUUAAGGUUAUUGUAACCGUCUUAACAAUGGUGUAGACCGAGUAUCCUCCACACAUUUUGCCAUUUAUGGCACAACUUGAGCCAGAAGCAUGAAUGGAAACUACAGUUGCACAUUAGACUGCAUUACAAGUUGCUGUAGUCUGACCAUUGUAAAAUUUGAGUGCAAGCCAACCGAGUUCGGAGUGCACCGAGGCCAAUAACCUCUGGUGGACACAAGGCACCACAUGCCCGUUGUGAAAUAAGAAGGAAGGAACAGUACCUGACCACGAACACGAACCGCUCCGUGAUGGUGUUCACCCAACGGACCAGCAACACAAUCGGGACGACAACAGAAGCAGGAAGUUGCACGUUGACGUUAGCAAGCGGUUGCUCGCGGCAACGUGGGGAGCAAAGGUGCGAAGGCUAAAGGCCAGGCGAGCUGACAGGUCAGCAUUCAAGCCAUGAGAGGGAAUCGCGUGAGGCAAUACUUAAUGGAGGCAAA